rnacentral:miRNA from 1 species
GAGGGGAGGAUGGAAGAGAGGAGU